GACGAACGCUGGCGGCGUGCCUAAUACAUGCAAGUCGAACGCAGAAGCAGGAGCUUGCUUCUCUGGACGAGUUGCGAACGGGUGAGUAACACGUAGGUAACCUGCCUGGAAGCGGGGGAUAACUAUUGGAAACGAUAGCUAAUACCGCAUAAGAGUUGAUGUUGCAUGACAUUUGCUUAAAAGGUUCGGUUGUAUCAUUACUAGUUGGUGCUGCGUUGUAUGAGCUAGUUGGUGAGGUAACGGCACACUAAGGCAACGACACAUCGUCGACAUGAGAGGGGGGUCAGCCGCACUGGGACUGAGACACGGCCCAGACUCCCUCGGGGAGGAGCAGGAGGGAAACGUCAGGAAGGGGCGGAAAGCUGUGCGAGAAACGCCGCGGGAGGGAAGAAGGGUGUCGGGUCGGAAAGCUCUGUUUUAAGGGGAGAAAGAGUGUGAGAGUGGAAAGUUCACACUGUGACGGUAACUUAUCAGAAAGCGACGGCUAACUACGUG
rnacentral:rRNA from 1 species